rnacentral:rRNA from 1 species
UGCCAGCCGCCGCGGUAAUACGGGGGGCGCAAGCGUUAUUCGGAAUUAUUGGGCGUAAAGGGCGCGCAGGCGGUCUUGUCCGUCAGGUGUGAAGGCUCGGGGCUCAACCCCGGAAGUGCACUUGAAACAGCAAGACUUGAAUACGGUAGAGGAGAGAGGAAUCCCUGGUGUAGAGGUGAAAUCCGUAGAUAUUCGGAGGAACACCAGUGGCGAAGGCGGCUUUCUGGACCGAUACUGACGCUGAGACGCGAAAGCGUGGGGAGCAAACAGGAUUAGAUA